rnacentral:rRNA from 1 species
GCGAGACAUUAUGAUAUUAGCGCAUCUACUUGUAGAGCGUGACCUCCACUUUCUAACUCUGUGCAUUUAUUGGCGGAAGGACUUGAGCAAUCGAGUUUCCUUCUGCGGCUCAUUUUAAAACACUAGUUAAAGUAUGUAACGAAAUAUCGAAACAAAAAAAAACUUUCAACAACGGAUCUCUUGGCUUGCUCAUCGAUGAAGAACGCAGCGAAAUGUGAUAAGUAAUGUGAAUUGCAGAAUUCAGUGAAUCAUCGAAUCUUUGAACGCACCUUGCGCUCUCUGGUAUUCCGGAGAGCAUGUCUGUUUGAGUGUCAUGAACUCUUCAACCCACCAUUUUCUUGUAGACUGAUUGGUGUUUGGUUUCUGAGCGUUGCUGGUCUUCGGAUCUAGCUCGUUCGUAAUAUAUUAACAUCUCUAAUUCGAACUCGGAUUGACUCAGUGUAAUAAACUAUUCGCUGUCAACUUUAAAUUAAACCUCAGAUCAGGCAGGAUUACCCGCUGAACUUAAGCAUAUCAAUAAGCGGAAGAAA